rnacentral:rRNA from 1 species
AGGAUGAACGCUGGCGGCGUGCCUAAAACAUGCAAGUCAUACGGGCUACCUUCGGGUAGCCAGUGGCAAACGGGUGAGUAACACGUGGGAACGCGCCUUGGGGUGGGGAAUAACGCUGAGAAAUCAGUGCUAAUACCGCAUACGGUCUAACGACUAAAGCAGCGAUGCGCCCCGAGAGCGGCCCGCGACCGAUUAGCUAGUUGGUGGGGUAAUGGCCUACCAAGGCGGUGAUCGGUAGCUGGU